AAACCUCAACCUCCUCGGUUUCUUCUGAACACCGAAGGAGGCUUGGACUUUGGAGGCCUUUGCUGGUGUCUCUCUCUUUUGAAACCCAGCUCCUCUUAAAUGAAUUAGCGGGGUCCUCAUUGCCGAUCCUUGACGUGUGAUAAGAUGUUUCCAUGUCUUGGUUUCUGGCUCUGUUGCCUUUGGGACCUGCUUCUAACUGUCUCAACCUCACAUUGAGACAACGUUUGAGCGUGUCUCCCUUCUUGGGAAACUCUCUCAACCCCACGAAC
rnacentral:misc_RNA from 1 species